rnacentral:lncRNA from 1 species
CCCCAUUUUCUCCCUCAGUCUUCAGAUCCCAUACUUUAAUGUGUUUUUGUCUCUCAGAACCAGCCAUUCCGAAUUUCCCAAGCAGAAGGCUACAGAUUUGUCCAACCUGGAAAGGAUAUCUGUCUCGACUGAAAGACCCCCGGAGAGUGAGCCAUGCUGACCUAUAUACCUGAGGCAGCUUCUGUCCCCAGCUGAGGAGCCCCCAGGAUCUUUUGAAUGUGCAGUGCGGCAGGUGAAGGAGGACAGCCGGAGCCCUAGAGGAAGGAGAAUGUGGGUUAAGAUGAUGGGAUGACUGGACACAUGGAAACCAGGUCAUUCCACGUCCUUGGCUCAUAAUCCAUAGUAAUAAAGUUAAGUCUCUGACUUUUUGCUUCCACACCUCUCAAGAAUUACUGGUUGGGUUUUCCCAAAAUCUGGAGUGUGACUUUAGUAUGGAUUGACUUAAAACAUGCCCUACGUCUAUGGGCUGAUGGUACUAUAAUACCCACUUAGGGGAUUCUGGAUGGCACCCCAUAAAUAGAAAGAUUUUUCCCCAGAAAAGUCCAUUGGUUG